UACGUAGGGUGCAAGCGUUGUCCGGAAUUAUUGGGCGUAAAGAGCUCGUAGGCGGUUUGUUGCGUCGGCUGUGAAAUCCCGAGGCUCAACCUCGGGUCUGCAGUCGAUACGAGCAAACUAGAGUGUUGCAGGGGAGACUGGAAUUCCUGGUGUAGCGGUGAAAUGCGCAGAUAUCCAGGAGGAACACCGGUGGCGAAGGCGGGUCUCUGGGCAACAACUGACGCUGGAGGAGCGAAAGCCGUGGGGAGCGAACAGG
rnacentral:rRNA from 1 species